GGUUGUGUAGUGUAGCGGUUAGCACCUCAGACUCUGAAUCUGAUAACCCGAGUUCGAUUCUCGGCACGACCA
rfam:Nematocida parisii ERTm3 unplaced genomic scaffold supercont1.1, whole genome shotgun sequence.